UACAGAGGGGGCAAGCGUUGUUCUGAAUUACUGGGCGUAAAGGGCGCGUAGGCGGCCUUCUAAGUCGAACGUGAAAUCCCCGGGCUCAACCCGGGAACUGCGUCCGAUACUGGAAGGCUUGAAUCCGGGAGAGGGAUGUGGAAUUCCAGGUGUAGCGGUGAAAUGCGUAGAUAUCUGGAGGAACACCGAUGGCGAAGGCAGCCCCCUGGGCUAACACUGACGCUCAUGCACGAAAGCGUGGGGAGCGAACAGG
rnacentral:rRNA from 1 species